CUACGGGAUGCUCCAGUGAGGAAUAUUGCACAAUGGGGGGAACCCUGAUGCAGCAACGCCGCGUGGAGGAUGACGCAUUUCGGUGUGUAAACUCCUUUUAUAUGUCAAGAAAAUGACGGUAGCAUAUGAAUAAGCACCGGCUAACUCCGUGCCAGCAGCCGCGGUAAUACGGAGGGUGCAAGCGUUACUCGGAAUCACUGGGCGUAAAGGACGCGUAGGCGGGUUGGAAAGUCGGGUGUGAAAUCCUACAGCUUAACUGUAGAACUGCACUUGAAACUUCUAAUCUAGAGUAUGGGAGGGGGAGAUGGAAUUAGUGGUAUAGGGGUAAAAUCCGUAGAUAUCACUAGGAAUACCUAAAGCGAAGGCGAUCUCCUGGAACAUUACUGACGCUAAGGCGUGAAAGCGUGGGGAGCAAACAGGAUUAGAUACCCGUGUAGUC
rnacentral:rRNA from 1 species